CCCUCACCGCGGCCAUUGAAUGAAUGCUCCCAAGAUGGGCUUUCGAUCCUCGAAGCGGCCUCUGACGACGCCUUGGAGCGCGACUUCGGGGCUCGAUUUCGGCGUCAUCGGGGAAGCGCUCGUCGCCUCACAAACUCAACCGCCGAUCGGGAUUCUGCGAUAAACUAUCAAAGUUUGGCAUCUUCGACAUGAUUACAGCUAUGCAGUGUCAAACUUGAUGAAAGACAAGCCACCCUGUUGCAAGGUCUCCUUUAACAUGAUUGCAGCAGGCAUCGGAGGUAAUCUUAUUGGAUACGUUGUGGGCGCCUUCUGAGUCUCGUAGGUUCACUGGUUUAUACUCUCAUCAGGUGGAUUUCCUUCAGCUCAAUAAGCUCACUUAAAGAUGUGCUCGACAUCAGAAAUAGAUCCACAUGGGACAUAUUACACAGAUCUGUCAUCAUCAUUGGGAGAGAGAGUGACACAUGGCCUUCUGCACUAUCUGGAAUUAGGUUUCAGGAAAACAAAUAUUAAGAAUUCAUGCACUUGUAGUUUGGUCAAUAGAGGAAGGUUUUAGCUUUAGACUUAUUCAGCUCCUUGCUACUGAGAUUUUGGAGAGUCUCAAAUAUGCUGCAUGUUCCAGCUUCUGCUCACUUCUUUAGCUGUCACAGCUUGGUCCAAGGAGAAGAUUGGCCCAUUAACCUUCUAAUUCUAAUAUGAUGCAGUAACUAAUCUAUUAACUUGAUUGGCAUUGACUUACGGGACUGAAAAUACUUUAAACUUAAUUUAAUCAUAACUUCAUCUCAGACCUAUAAACUAAUUUCUGUCUGGGAUUAUAUAUGGUGGGGUGUCAUUAUGUAAUUCAUCGACUCUCAGAACCUGCCCUUAGGACAAUUUUCUCUCCUAUGUAUUACAUUAAAUUGCAUACAGGCUGCUUUUACAUGGAUAUGAAUAUGAGAUCUAUCAAUUGUGUGAUGAUGGGCUAAACACCCUACUUUUUUAGAGGAAAAGAAUCCAAGUCCAAACAUCUUGUUCCAUCUAACCCUUAAAAUUUUAAAUAAUUCAAUCUUCAACUCUUACAUAUAUGUAUAUGUAUGCCUCUGAGUUUUUAUUAUGUCAACUUGUUUAUGUGGAGUCCCACCAUAGAUCAGAAAACACUAUUGCUUUAUAGGCCUUCGAAAUUAAAGUUUUUAUGCAUUAUGAUUUAGGCUUUAAUGUUGACUUGUGUUUUUGUUGGUUUGUGGAAUAAACACUACAAAAUACACCUAGUUAUGACCAUUUAUUUAGCCUCAACAAUUUUUAUGAUGUACAACAAAUCACUAAAAUUUGGGUCUUCUUAUAGAGAAAUGCAAAUUAAAUGAUCAAAUUUAGAGUCUUAUCGCGAACUUAGUGGAGUUUGCUUAAGUCAUAUAGUACCCAAGCAACACUUCAAAUUGCAUGGACGAUUUAAAAACUCCCUUAGUGUAGAAAGGACACUUGUAAAUUUUUAGUUAUAGCGCAUAAGGGUUCUCUCGCAAUUAGAGAGCCUAAGGUUGCAAACAGAGAUGAUCAUGUUUUCGACAAUGAUUUGGCUACUAUAUUUAAGUGAAGGUUAAAGGAAUAUGCCUACUAGAAAUCUCUUAAAAGUAAUAUUACUAUCAUGGGACUCCAUAAUGCAAAUAGACAACAGCCAAAAUCGCAUCAGGAUGCCCAAAUCUUUCUAUAAUCAUAAAGAGCUAAAAUACAUGUGAUGGAGCUGGUAAUUUAAAGCUUACUUUCCAUCGUAGUAUAAUAAUUUGCAUUUUGCGUAUCUAGAGAUUUUUUCUCUGAUGACUGACAGUUUGGAUCAAAACUAUAUUACCCUUCACAGAAUAGAUCUUUUAAACAUUAGUUUUUCAUGAAUUUUCAAGCAGUAGAUUCAGUUUUGGGAAGAUAAUGUCGAAAUGAAAAUUUGAGAUUUAAUUCAAAGAUGCACUGGACAGAUGUCUUACAAAAAAUGAGAAUUAGGGAAAAAAUAAACAAAAAAGAAGUUUGGCGUCAAUUACUGCUCAUCAUGGGGCUGCUGAAGUAGUUUCAUCACUGACUUGGGAGAUCUUAAUGCAAAUUUUCAACUCAGCCUUUUAAGCUUUGUCACAACUUUAUUAAAUCCAUGUUCCCAUUGUUCCUUGUGAUCAAUCAGAAGGACCGAUGAGCAGAAGUUAUGCUGGAAGGAUGUGAAUUGCCACCUUCAAGCAUCCUGGUUAUCGGUGUUUGCUCCAGCUGUGGAGGGUUGCUGAGGAGCUUGUAAGUCUUCGAGCAUUCAUGACACAAGGAAAAAGGGGUUGCCUUGCAUGUGGUGGGGGUUGGAGCUGAAACGGGUGUUGUUGCGAGGAGGAGGGAAUGAAGGACCCCUGCAUGUGGGGUGCAGGAUGCUGCUGCAUGUAUGGUGGCCGUGGGCCUUGUGCUAGAGAAGGAAACCCUGCCCUGGGACUUUGCAUAGAGUACCCCAUGUGAGGGUAAUGGUGGUAGGGUGGAGGUCCAACAGCUGAUGGUGACGUUGGUCCAUAUAGCUGUUGGUAGUAGUAGGAUGCCACUUGGGGAUUGUACAUAGCAGCCUGUUUGCAGAAUUCAGAAAAGCACAAAUGCCAUGGCAUUAAACAUUUGAUGAGAUACACAGAUGAUGCACAAGUGAAACUAAAUUAUCGCUGAUAAGAACAGUGCUCCAUCGAAUAGACUGUUUGUUUUAUGA